GCUGGGUGCGGUGGCACGUGUCUGUAGUCCCAGCAACUCAGUAGGUUGAGAUGGGAGGAUUGCCUGAGGCUGGCAAUUCUGGGCUAUAGUACAGUAUGCUGUUCGAGUGUCCACACUAAGUUCAGCAUCAAUAAAUAUGGUGACCCCUCAGGAGCAGGGAAUCACCAGGUUGCCUAAGGAGGGAUGAACGGGCUCAGGUUGAAAGUGGAGCAGGUCAAAACUUCCAUGCUGAUGAGUAAUGAGAUCACACUUGUGAAUAGCCACUGCACUCCAACCAGGGCAACAUAGUGAGACACCAUCUCU
rnacentral:SRP_RNA from 10 species